UGGGGGAUAUUGCGCAAUGGGGGAAACCCUGACGCAGCAACGCCGCGUGAAGGAAGAAGGUCUUCGGAUUGUAAACUUUUUUGACGAGGGACGAAAAAAAUGACGGUACCUCGAAAACAAGCUCCGGCUAACUACGUGCCAGCAGCCGCGGUAAUACGUAGGGCGCGAGCGUUGUCCGGAAUUACUGGGUGUAAAGGGCGUGUAGGCGGGCUGGCAAGUCAGGUUUGAAAUUCCCGGUCUUAACCUGGGCGCUGCAUUUGAAACUGAUGGUCUUGAGUGCUGGAGAGGAAAGCGGAAUUCCUAGUGUAGCGGUGAAAUGCGUAGAUAUUAGGAGGAACACCAGUGGCGAAGGCGGCUUUCUGGACAGUAACUGACGCUGAGGCGCGAAAGCGUGGGGAGCAAACA
rnacentral:rRNA from 1 species